GUUAGUUACGAACAAUGUUUUAAUAACCCGACCGCAUGUCGAACCCGUAAAUAGAGAUUGACGGUUAAUCCCUUUUUUUCUUGGCUUUGAACGUGUCCUGUCCCUUCAAGUCCCGUACUCUUUAGUCCUAAAUUCACCCGUCCCGGACAGUUUAGUCUAAAUUUUAAACGAGUUAAUCCAAACUGUCACCCAUUCUUAAUUUCCCGAAUUUUAUCACUACCAAAAUUACCCUUCAGAGAUAUAAAUGUUUUGAAUUGAUUAUAGAUCUCAGGAGAGAUUCGGAGAGAGAUCGAGAGCGAUAUAGAGAGAUCAAGAUAGAUUUUGGAAGAGAUUUGUUGGAUUAAAUAGUUUCUUCUCAGCUGCAAACCCUUAGUCUCUCGAUGAGUCUCUUAGUCUCUAUGAUGGGAUUCAUUUUUCAAUUUCAUUGACGAACUCGAAAACAAUUCCUUCCUCUCUGAUAAAUUGAUUGAAGAGCAACCAGACAAUUUUUGUAAACGAUUUCUCUUCGAUCGAAGGUUUUGUUUUUUGAUGCAGUGAUGUUGAUUCAACGACAUUUGCAUAGCAUUGUCAUGUCGAUGGAGAUUUGUACAACGGAUAAGACCAUUAAUAGAAUUACUAGGCCUGUGGUACCGUAUAGCUAACAUUUUCGUCAAGAUUUUAUCAGAAGUAUGGAAAAGAUUAUGAAUAUAACACACCUGUCAAACUGCUGGACAAGCACUUGUAUGCAAUGGCGGAGACAGAAGAUGAACAGCUUGUGGUGAUCUCUCAGGUUCUUCUUUGUCCCUUUGUCACCUAGCUUAUUAGACGGAUUCUAAAUGUUAAUGCGCCCAAACCAGGCGUUAACAAAAGUUACGCCUGCUAACAAACGUACAUUUUAGAUACGCCUCGCCCAGACGUACAUUAAAGUUACGCCCAUACCAGACGUACAUUAAAGAUACGCCUAGACACAGACGCUCACAAUACAUGCGCCCAACCCAGACGUUUUUUAUAACUGCGCCUCAUUCAUACGCCCUUUAUACAUCCGUCCCAUUUCAGGCGUAAGUAUUAACAUCGUCUGACGCGUUUGAAGGGGGCGGAGUUUAUACAUGCGCCUGACUCAUACGGUGAUUAUAUGCUCGCCUGAUUGUAUACGGUGAUUAAACUUACGCCUGGUAUCAUACGCUCCUAAUACUUCCGUCCCACUAUAUCUUUUUUAGUCUGGGCCGACGACCACAUUUGGUCUCAAACCCUAAAUUUGGCGACCAAAUUUGGGUUUACUCCUCACCACUGCGAUACUUUCUGGGACCAAAUUUGGGUUUAGUACCCAAAUUUGGUCGUCACUGUGGUUGCUCUUAGAUACUCUUUGAAAACACCAGUUAAUUAAAUGUAGUUGUGUAGUUGCAAAUCCUAGUCCCACUACAAAAUUUAUACCUUGCGGCUUCCUUUUAAGAGUAGUAAUUCACUUAUUGUGCUGAUUAUUUGUUUAACAUACUUAUACACCCAUGCUAUUAAUAAAAUUUGUUUAGCUUGUUUCUGCGUGGAAAUAUUAACAAAAAGAUGCUCAGGUAUGUUCAUUCUUUCUGAACCAAUUACUAUCCUCUCAUAUGUAGUCACGAAGUUGCGUAGGUAGCUGAUUUGGAACUUAAAUGUUGUAUGAAUUAACAUUAUAAUGUAAACCCAUUCCAUUUAUGCCUCUUAAUAUCAAAACCUACAGGCAUUUUUACUUACCUCAUGUUUCGUUGUCGUCCAUUUUUCUGGCUGUUGAGUUUCUACAUUAUUAUACUCGAGGUAGCUCUAACACUUACCUCUACACUGUAUGAAAGAAGCAAGAAAUUAACCGUAGAAUACCCAAUGAUUUAAACAGACUGCGCUUUUUAAUAUAUAGAGUACGCACACAUAAGAAUUAACUGUAGUGUGAGAUGAUGAUGGGAUCAUCCAUAUAAAAAUUCAGGACUUUAUGUAGAAUCUUAUAGUGAUGUUUUUCAAGUCCGUAGAUGUCACUUUCAAAGAGUUGUUUAUCAAAACUGUGUAACCAACAUAUAUGCAUGGAAAUUGGAUUUUUCACCCAUAUUUGAGAAAUCAUAUUUGUUAAUGAUUAGCUUGCUAGCAGUACCCAGAUAUGGUAAGGUUACAUGUUAAGGAAUGUAUUUGAUUUUUUUUUAUGAGAAUGAGUACACCUAAAAGACGACAAAUCAUUCCGUAGUAGUUUGUUUGUGUCAUCUGCACUCUUUAAAUAGUUUUGCAAUGACUUAUUUGAGAUCUCUCCUAUUGUUGUGUUGUGCAUAAGUUUGCAUCGACUUACUUCCUGAAUUGGUGUGAGUGGUGGAAGGCCGGAUCGGAAUGAUUGGUUGGUAAGCCUGUUUCUUUGCAGUGUGGACAUAAUGAAGGGAAUAACUGUGUACUCAUCAAUUCUGAUAAGAAGAUUCAGAACACAUGGAAUAUAAGGAGUUAAUGUCGAUUGUUAAUGAGUAUAUCAUUAUACACAUGUUUCUUCUUAAUGUGUACAUAAUUUUACACAUGUUGAUUGUUAAUGUGCACAUAGUUGUACACCUAUUGAUAGUUAACGUGCACAUAAUUAUAAACCUAUUGUUUGUUAAAGAGUUACUGUUUCAGGUUCUUAAAUUUUGUAUGCUUUGUUUUUGAGGGAGCUAGAUGUAAAGUGAGGAAGAUAAUCUUAAGUUUGUUUGAAUGGUUAUUUGAAUUUCAGGUGUUGGUGAGUCAAAUAUACUCUUUCGAUUUGACUAGGAAUAAGUUCAGUCACGAAACCAAGUCUACCAUUGUUGUUGAGUUGGAUACUAGUAGUUUGAAAGUUGGAGUUAAAGUCAUCAAAGCUCAGAUUCAAGGCACUUCUGUCAAUAAAAGUUAUUUUUUUUUCUUUCACUGUAUGUAAAUAAUUGUGUACACAAUUGUACACAUGUUGAUAUUUAGUAUUUACACAGGUGUACACCUCUUGAUCGUUAUGUACCUUUCUUUAAUAAGAACACUAUCACUCUUUUAUUUCAUUUUACAUUAAUAAAAUUGAAGUAGCAUAUCAAGAGGUUCUUACUUUGAAGAGGUAAGAGGAGAUCAUUCGGUUUGUGAGGAAGAUGAGAUUUGGCAAGUUGAGAGUGAGCAAAAGUAAAUGGUAGAUCCUCUAUUAAGGAAAAGCGCCAAAGGAAAUACAGGUAUUAUGAUUAUCUCUAAAUUGACUAUUUUAGCACAUUUAUCACUCGAAAAAUUUAAUUGUACAUUUUCAGUAGUUACUUCAAACUGAU